GUCAUCAUUCACAUCUUCUUCUAUUACUUCAAAUCAGGGAUCUUGAAGGAGUCAACCUUAAGCAAUAUCAUGCUCUCAGUUGAAUUUGGUUGACCAUUUCUAGUCCACUAUCACAUGACAGAUUCCUGUUGAAGAAAGGUUCUAAGAGGACUUGUCAGAGAAGCUCUACUGUCUAAAAUCUAUAUUACAACUUUCCUGAAUUAGAUUUCUCUGUCUAAAGUCAAAAGGUUACAUUCAUCAGUGUAACAUCUAUUCUAAUAGAAAAUAAAUAGAAUGCCAAAUUAUGUGGCAUAAUAUCAUAAAACCUCAUUUAUUUCAGAAAGAAAAGAUUUCUCAUAAUUCAUAUAUAAAGCCAGUAAGAUCUCUUCAUAUAUUUG
rnacentral:misc_RNA from 1 species